UGGGGAAUAUUGCACAAUGGGGGAAACCCUGAUGCAGCAACGCCGCGUGCGGGAUGACGGCCUUCGGGUUGUAAACCGCUUUCAGCCAUGACGAAGCUUUUGUGACGGUAGUGGCAGAAGAAGCACCGGCUAACUACGUGCCAGCAGCCGCGGUGAUACGUAGGGUGCGAGCGUUUUCCGGAAUUAUUUGGCGUAAAGAGCUUUUAGGCGGUUUGUCGCGUCGAAAGUGUAAACUCAGUGCUUAACGCUGAGCCUGCUUUCGAUACGGGCUGACUAGAGGAAGGUAGGGGAGAAUGGAAUUCCCGGUGGAGCGGUGGAAUGCGCAGAUAUCGGGAGGAACACCAGUGGCGAAGGCGGUUCUCUGGACCUUUCCUGACGCUGAGAAGCGAAAGCGUGGGUAGCAAACAGG
rnacentral:rRNA from 1 species